UAUUAACUCUGGCGGCGUGCCUAAUACAUGCAAGUCGAGCGAACAGACGAGGAGCUUGCUCCUCUGACGUUAGCGGCGGACGGGUGAGUAACACGUGGAUAACCUACCUAUAAGACUGGGAUAACUUCGGGAAACCGGAGCUAAUACCGGAUAAUAUAUUGAACCGCAUGGUUCAAUAGUGAAAGACGGUUUUGCUGUCACUUAUAGAUGGAUCCGCGCCGCAUUAGCUAGUUGGUAAGGUAACGGCUUACCAAGGCAACGAUGCGUAGCCGACCUGAGAGGGUGAUCGGCCACACUGGAACUGAGACACGGUCCAGACUCCUACGGGAGGCAGCAGUAGGGAAUCUUCCGCAAUGGGCGAAAACCUGACGGAGCAACGCCGCGUGAGUGAUGAAGGUCUUCGGAUCGUAAAACUCUGUUAUUAGGGAAGGACAAAUGUGUAAGUAACUAUGCACGUCUUGACGGUACCUAAUCAGAAAGCCACGGCUAACUACGUG
rnacentral:rRNA from 1 species